CCUACGGGGGGCAGCAGUGGGGGAUAUUGCACAAUGGGGGAAACCCUGAUGCAGCGACGCCGCGUGGGUGAAGAAGCGCCUCGGCGCGUAAAGCCCUGUCAGCAGGGAAGAAAAUGACGGUACCUGAAGAAGAAGCCCCGGCUAACUACGUGCCAGUAGCCGCGGUAAUACGUAGGGGGCAAGCGUUAUCCGGAUUUACUGGGUGUAAAGGGGGCGCAGACGGCGAUGCAAGCCAGGAGUGAAAGCCUGGGGCCCAACCCCGGGACUGCUCUUGGAACUGCGUGGCUAGAGUGCAGGAGGGGCAG
rnacentral:rRNA from 1 species